GCCUGGGUGGCUCAGUCGGUUAAGCAUCUGACUUCGGCUCAGGUCAUGAUCUCGCAGUUCUCGUGCGUUCAAGCCCCACAUCGGGCU
rnacentral:tRNA from 1 species